GAUGAACGCUGGCGGCGUGCCUAAUACAUGCAAGUCGAGCGAACGGACGAGAAGCUUGCUUCUCUGAUGUUAGCGGCGGACGGGUGAGUAACACGUGGAUAACCUACCUAUAAGACUGGGAUAACUUCGGGAAACCGUAGCUAAUACCGGAUAAUAUUUUGAACCGCAUGGUUCAAAAGUGAAAGACGGUCUUGCUGUCACUUAUAGAUGGAUCCGCGCUGCAUUAGCUAGUUGGUAAGGUAACGGCUUACCAAGGCAACGAUGCAUAGCCGACCUGAGAGGGUGAUCGGCCACACUGGAACUGAGACACGGUCCAGACUCCUACGGGAGGCAGCAGUAGGGAAUCUGCCGCAAUGGGCGAAAGCCUGACGGAGCAACGCCGCGUGAGUGAUGAAGGUCUUCGGAUCGUAAAACUCUGUUAUUAGGGAAGAACAUAUGUGUAAGUAACUGUGCACAUCUUGACGGUACCUAAUCAGAAAGCCACGGCUAACUACGUG
rnacentral:rRNA from 1 species